UUCACAUAUUGGAUUAAAAUAUAACUACAAAAUAAAUUAAGUAAUCAAGUUAAUCGCAAAGAAGUGGAAAAAAUCUAUUUUGACUUACUGCACUUUAUAACUUUCACAGUUUCGCAUAAUACAUUAUGAUUCCAAAUCAGAAUUUGAAUAUGCCAUAGUGAAAUAUACUUUCACUUACAAUUUGGAAGAUCCUCUAUGUUAAAAUGAUAUUCAUACCAAUAUUUCCAAUUGUAUUUCAAAAUACCAAUAUUUUGGUAACAGUGAAAAAUAAAUUAACGCUUCACAUAUCGGAUUAAAAUAUGACUACAAAAUAAAUUAAGUAAGUAUACAUUUAAAUUGUAAUAUUAUUUAAUUAUUAAAUU